UAAAUGGUUUUGUUAAAAACCAUUAUUUUUGUUUUAAAAAAUGUC
rfam:Ophiophagus hannah scaffold1171.1, whole genome shotgun sequence.